rnacentral:rRNA from 1 species
ACUACGGGCGGCAGCAGUGGGGAAUAUUGCACAAUGGGGGGAACCCUGAUGCAGCGACGCCGCGUGAGUGAAGAAGUAUUUCGGUAUGUAAAGCUCUAUCAGCAGGGAAGAAAAUGACGGUACCUGACUAAGAAGCCCCGGCUAACUACGUGCCAGCAGCCGCGGUAAUACGAAGGGGGCCAGCGUUAUCCGGAUUUACUGGGUGUAAAGGGAGCGCAGACGGCUGUGCAAGUCUGGAGUGAAAGGCGGGGGCCCAACCCCCGGACUGCUCUGGAAACUGUAAAGCUGGAGUGCAGGAGAGGUAAGCGGAAUUCCUGGUGUAGCGGUGAAAUGCGUAGAUAUUAGGAGGAACACCAGUGGCGAAGGCGGCUUACUGAACUGCAACUGACGUUGAGGCUCGAAAGCGUGGGGAGCAAACAGGAUUAGAUACCCUUGUAGUC